GACGAACGCUGGCGGCGUGCUUAACACAUGCAAGUCGAACGGAAAGGCCCUGCUUUUGUGGGGUGCUCGAGUGGCGAACGGGUGAGUAACACGUGAGUAACCUGCCCUUGACUUUGGGAUAACUUCAGGAAACUGGGGCUAAUACCGGAUAGGAGCUCCUGCUGCAUGGUGGGGGUUGGAAAGUUUCGGCGGUUGGGGAUGGACUCGCGGCUUAUCAGCUUGUUGGUGGGGUAGUGGCUUACCAAGGCUUUGACGGGUAGCCGGCCUGAGAGGGUGACCGGCCAAAUGGGGCCGGAGGACCGGCCCAGCCUCCUAGGGGAGGGAGGGGGGGGGAAUAUUGCACAAGGGGGGGAAGCCUGAUGCAGAAACGCCGGGGGGGGGAUGACGGCCUUGGGGUUGGAAACCGUUUUCCCCUGGGACGAAGGGGGAGGGACGGGAAUGGGAAAAGAAGCACCGGCUAACUACGU
rnacentral:rRNA from 1 species